UGGCGGCCUUCGCGCUGGCGG
rnacentral:misc_RNA from 1 species